rnacentral:rRNA from 1 species
UACAGAGGGUGCAAGCGUUGUUCGGAAUUAUUGGGCGUAAAGGGCGCGUAGGCGGUGCGGUAAGUCUGCAGUGAAAUCUCUGGGCUCAACUCAGAGUCUGCUGUGGAAACUGCCGUGCUUGAGUGUGGGAGAGGUGAGUGGAAUUCCCGGUGUAGCGGUGAAAUGCGCAGAUAUCAGGAAGAACACCCGUGGCGAAGGCGGUUCUCUGGGACGGUACUGACGCUGAGACGCGAAAGCGUGGGGAGCGAACAGG